rnacentral:rRNA from 2 species
CAGCUCAAAUUUGAAAUCUGGCUCUUUCAGGGUCCGAGUUGUAAUUUGCAGAGGGCGCUUUGGCGUUGGCAGCGGUCUAAGUUCCUUGGAACAGGACGUCACAGAGGGUGAGAAUCCCGUACGUGGUCGCUUGCGUUCGCCGUGUAAAGCCCCUUCGACGAGUCGAGUUGUUUGGGAAUGCAGCUCUAAAUGGGAGGUAAAUUUCUUCUAAAGCUAAAUACUGGCCAGAGACCGAUAGCGCACAAGUAGAGUGAUCGAAAGAUGAAAAGCACUUUGGAAAGAGAGUCAAACAGCACGUGAAAUUGUUGAAAGGGAAGCGCUUGCAGCCAGACUUGCCUGUAGUUGCUCAUCCGGGCUUUUGGCCGGUGCACUCUUCUGCAGGCAGGCCAGCAUCAGUUUGGGCGGUUGGAUAAAGGCCUCUGUCACGUACCUCCUUUCGGGGAGGCCUUAUAGGGGAGGCGGCAUGCAACCAGCCUGGACUGAGGUCUGCGCAUCUGCUAGGAUGCUGGCGUAAUGGC